UAAAUGUGUUGUAUUUAUUUUGUAGAUUAUUUUGUUGCAGAACUUAUUGUCCAAGAUUCUGACAUCUUGUGUUUUUGAUGGGACUCUUAUUAUUUAAGUUUGAUGGACUAAACAUGCAGAUCAGAUACAUUUUGUAUAAGAAAUAAAAUUUAAGAGGUGGUCACUGCGCCAUGCAGUAUUCCAACUUGUGUUUGUUUUAUUG
rnacentral:lncRNA from 1 species